rnacentral:sRNA from 1 species
UUUUGUCUUUGGCAAUUCACAAUUUUACUAUAACAACUCUUGUUAUAGUAAAAUUGUGAAUUGCCAAAGACAAAA